CCAGACUCCUACUUUAUUCAGCAUUUAUUAAUAUUUUUCAAUUUUCUAUAUCCUUAACCAUCCAAUUCUCUUUAAGUAUUAAUUAUCUAUUUUUUUUAAACUUCUUUUAUAUGUUAAUAAAUUUAUUAACUUUUUCCUUUUUGUAUUUACCAUAUGAAUAAGCAUCUUCUAACUCCGUGCCAGCAGCCGCGUUAAUACGGAGGAUGCUAUCGUUAUCCGGAUUUAUUGGGUUUAAAGGGUGCGUAGGUGGUUAAUUAAGUAAGAGGUGAAAGUUUGUGGAUAAAAAAUAAAAUUGAAGUUGAAAAUGGUUGAAUUGAGUAUAUUUGAGGUAGGAGGAAUGAGUGGUGUAGAGGUGAAAUGAAUAGAUAUAAAGAAGAAAUAAGAUUGAGAAGGAAGAUUAAUAAAAUAUAAAUGAAAAUGAAGAAAGAAAGAGUGGGGAUAAAGAAGGAUUAGAUAAAAAAGUA
rnacentral:rRNA from 1 species